CCGGGCAACGUGGACUCCACGAAAACCGAUUGCAUGCAUUUGAAAUGCAACGGUCUUUUUCGUGGAGACUACGCUCAGAGCAGCUGGAACUGAACAAGAGGAAGGAGGAAAACGGGCUAUGAAACACAAUUAUUAUGUAUAUAUUUUUUGCUAUCGGCCAUGUUUGAUUGUGUUGUGUUGGUUAUUGAACUGUUAACCCGCAAACUUGGGUUAUGUUUAUCAGCGUUACUAGAGAUCAUGACGAUAGCUGAUGUAACGGGAGUCCGGGCGUGUGCAGGACCGAACCGCGCUGUAGGCCUAUUCACUGUUCCACUGCGCAUAGACAGUAAAAAGUAGCUGAGACGGUAGAAACCAAUAAAUUAAAAUAGGCUAUUUGUUUCAGGUACCCUAUUUUUUCACACAAAAAAAUAAUAAUUUAAAAUCCCCCCCUAAAAAAGGAAUCACGUUCCCAGCGCCCCCCUAGGUUGUGCGAACGCCCCCCAGGGGGCGGUCCCGCCUCGUUGAGAAACCAUGCUGUGUAGAUCAACAUUUCUCAUGUUGUAGAUAAACGCAAUACAUUAACACUUUAACAAUAUAAGGGAGGUAGAGAGAGUCGAAGUUUGAAAGAAAAAUACUAUAUUAUCAGUUGCACAGAAGUAAUAACAAAUCAUGAGUGGGUUUGCCAAAUAACGUGUUUAGCCAACUGCACACAAGGCCACAAAGAGGGCUGGCAAAAGACACACCCUACGUGUCAGUAUAUGGUUUGGUUCAACGUGCAUAGUUUCCUCAUUCGAGGAAAAGGAUCCGUAGCCUAUCUAACAUGCAUCUCUGCUCUAUAUUUCUUCAAGUUCUGUAUUUUCUUAAUUAUUGGUUCGUAACCCUACAAGGGUCAGAACAUCAUACCUCUACAGUUUUUUUGCUCAAAGGAAAGGAUUUAUUCAUGGAAAUAAAUACACAGAAACCCACCGGUCUCUUUUUAUGGCGCUUUAAC